rnacentral:rRNA from 1 species
GACGAACGCUGGCGGCGUGCUUAACACAUGCAAGUCGAGCGGAAAGACGCGGCUUUUGUUCCUUUCUCGAUUGCGGAGCAGGGGAGUGACACGUGUGGAACCUGCACUUAUCAGUCUGAGAUCUUCAGGGAACUGGGGCUAUUAUAGCGGAUAAUCUCCUGCUGCGUGUGGUUCGUUGGAGAGUUUCGGCUUUGGUGGAUCUACUCGCUGGUUCCGCGCCGCAUUAGCUAGUUGGUAAGGUACCGGCUUACCAAGGCAACGAUGCGUAGCCGACCUGAGAGGGUGAUCGGCCACACUGGAACUGAGACACGGUCCAGACUCCUACGGUAGGCAGCAGUAGGGAAUCUUCCGCAAUGGGCGAAAGCCUGACGGAGCAACGCCGCGUGAGUGAUGAAGGUCUUCGGAUCGUAAAACUCUGUUAUUAGGGAAGAACAAAUGUGUAAGUAACUAUGCACGUCUUGACGGUACCUAAUCAGAAGGCCACGGCUAACUACGUG